rnacentral:rRNA from 1 species
AGCAGUCGCCACGGGAAUACGUAGGUGGCGAGCGUUGUCCGGAAUCAUUGGGCGUAAAGGGAGCGCAGGCGGGCCGGUAAGUCUUACUUAAAAGUGCGGGGCUCAACCCCGUGAUGGGAGAGAAACUAUCGGUCUUGAGUACAGGAGAGGAAAGCGGAAUUUCCAGUGUAGCGGUGAAAUGCGUAGAUAUUGGGAAGAACACCAGUGGCGAAGGCGGCUUUCUGUACUGCAACUGACGCUGAGGCUCGAAAGCCAGGGGAGCGAACGGGAUUAGAUACCCCCGUAGUCCCUGUCUCUUAUACA